AUUGAACGCUGGCGGCAGGCCUAACACAUGCAAGUCGGACGGUAGCACAGAGGAGCUUGCUCCCCGGGUGACGAGUGGCGGACGGGUGAGUAAUGUCUGGGGAUCUGCCCGAUAGAGGGGGAUAACCACUGGAAACGGUGGCUAAUACCGCAUAACGUCGCAAGACCAAAGAGGGGGACCUUCGGGCCUCUCACUAUCGGAUGAACCCAGAUGGGAUUAGCUAGUAGGCGGGGUAACGGCCCACCUAGGCGAGGAUCCCUAGCUGGUCUGAGAGAAUGACCAGCCACACUGGAACGGUGACACGGUCCAGACUCCUACAGGAGGCAGAAGUGGGGAAUAUUGCACAUUGGGCGCAAGCCUGAUGAAGCCAUGCCGCGUGUAUGAAGAAGGCCUUCGGGUUGUAAAGUACUUUCAGCGGGGAGGAAGGCGAUGUGGUUAAUAACCGCGUCGAUUGACGUUACCCGCAGAAGAAGCACCGGCUAACUCCGUGCCAGCCGCCGCGGUAA
rnacentral:rRNA from 1 species